CGCGUAGGCGGCCUGAUAAGUAGGGGGUGAAAUCCUGCGGCUUAACCGCAGGGCUGCCUUCUAAACUGUCGGGCUUGAGCACAGUAGAGGCAGGUGGAAUUCCCGGUGUAGCGGUGGAAUGCGUAGAGAUCGGGAAGAACAUCAGUGGCGAAGGCGGCCUGCUGGGCUGUUGCUGACGCUGAGGCGCGACAGCGUGGGGAGCAAACA
rnacentral:rRNA from 1 species